UAGGGAAUUUUCCGCAAUGGACGAAAGUCUGACGGAGCAACGCCGCGUGAGCGAAGAAGGCCUUCGGGUCGUAAAGCUCUGUUGUUAGGGAAGAACAAGUACGAGAGUAACUGCUCGUACCUUGACGGUACCUAACCAGAAAGUCACGGCUAACUACGUGCCAGCAGCCGCGGUAAUACGUAGGUGGCAAGCGUUGUCCGGAAUUAUUGGGCGUAAAGCGCGCGCAGGCGGUCCUUUAAGUCUGAUGUGAAAGCCCACGGCUCAACCGUGGAGGGUCAUUGGAAACUGGGGGACUUGAGUGCAGAAGAGGAGAGUGGAAUUCCACGUGUAGCGGUGAAAUGCGUAGAGAUGUGGAGGAACACCAGUGGCGAAGGCGACUCUCUGGUCUGUAACUGACGCUGAGGCGCGAAAGCGUGGGGAGCAAACAGGAUUAGAUACCCUGGUAGUCCACGCCGUAAACGAUGAGUGCUAAGUGUUAGAGGGUUUCCGCCCUUUAGUG
rnacentral:rRNA from 1 species